ACCUGAUGAUAUAGGCAUUUAUGGAGUAGGUCCCUAAAGCGCUCCCAGGUCUCAAAGAAAAGUUGCCCAUCCUUCUGUGUGAAAUGUGUGAUUGCCCUUCGUAGCU